GGGCAACCUGCCCUGGAGAUGGGGAUAGCCCGCCGAAAGGCGGAUUAAUACCUGAUGAGGCUACCGGAUGCAUAUUCGGGACGCUAAAGGUGGUGCAAGCUACCGCUCUGGGAUGGGCCCGCGGCCUAUCAGCUAGUUGGUGAGGUUACGGCUCACCAAGGCGAUGACGGGUAGCUGGUCUGAGAGGACGACCAGCCACACUGGAACUGAGACACGGUCCAGACACCUACGGGUGGCAGCAGUCGAGAAUUUUUCUCAAUGGGGGAAACCCUGAAGGAGCGACGCCGCGUGGAGGAUGAAGGUUUUCGGAUUGUAAACUCCUGUCAUUGGUGAACAAAGGAACCGGUUAACUGCCUGGUUCUCUGCUAGUAGCCGAAGAGGAAGGGACGGCUAACUCUGUGCCAGCAGCCGCGGUAAUACAGAGGUCCCGAGCGUUGUUCGGAUUCAUUGGGCGUAAAGGGUGCGUAGGCGGCGGGGUAAGUCUGAUGUGAAAUCCCGGAGCUCAACUCCGGAACUGCAUUGGAUACUGCCUUGCUAGAGUACUGGAGAGGAAACUGGAAUUUACGGU
rnacentral:rRNA from 1 species